GAUGAACGCUGGCGGCGUGCCUAAUACAUGCAAGUCGAGCGAACGGACGAGACGCUUGCUUUUCUGAUGUUAUCGGCGGACGGGUGAGUAACACGUGGAUAACCUACCUAUAAGACUUGGAUAACUUCGGGAAACCGGAGCUAAUACCGGAUAAUAUUUUGAACCGCAUGGUUCAAAAGUGAAAGACGGUCUUUCGGUCACUUAUAGACGGAUCCGCGCUGCAUUAUCUAGUUGGUAAGGUGACUGCUUAACAAGGCAACGAUGCAUACCCGACCUGAGCGCGAGAGCGGCUACCCGGGAUGUGAGACACGGUCGAGACUCCGAGGGUGAGCAGCAGUAGGGAAUCUUCCGCAAUGGGGGAGAGGCGGACAGAGCACAGUCGGGGGAAUGAUGAUGCUGUUCUGAUCGGAAAGCUAUGUUAGUAGGGAAGAAGAUAUGUGUAAGUAACUGUGCACAUCUUGACGGUACCUAAUCAGAAAGCCACGGCUAACUACGUG
rnacentral:rRNA from 1 species